rnacentral:rRNA from 1 species
AAUAAUUAAAAAAAUUAAAUAAUAUUUAUUCUUUUUAUUGUUACUACUACUAUUAUUAUCAUUACACCUACAAUUUUACGAAACGAAUACGACUACGAUUACGAAUACAAAUGAUAAUGCUAGAAAAAAUUAAAAAAUAAUAAUAGGGG